UUGAGAGUUCAAACUGAGAAAUAUGUCAGAUACUCAGCUUGGAUAUGGAUGCCAUCACAUUCAUAUUUAAGUAAUGAUUAGUCUAUGGUGUGUUUGAGGAUGAAGGAAAACCAGGCCGGACCUGGAAGCUUCAACGUUUAUGUCUGAGCCUGACCAUUGUCCCGACUCAUGAUUUAGAGUUAAGAAGUGAGUUGAGAAAGAUUCUCCAAAAAGAAAAAAAAAAUAAACUUUUAAGGAUACAUAAAAUUUU
rnacentral:lncRNA from 1 species